GAACGCUGGCGGCGUGCUUAACACAUGCAAGUCGAACGGAGUUAAGAAGGAAGCUGCUUCAUUUAAACUUAGUGGCGGACGGGUGAGUAACGCGUGAGGAACCUGCCCUUCAGUGGGGAACAACAACUAGAAAUGGUUGCUAAUACCGCAUAAUGUCGGAGAGCCGCAUGACUUUCCGACCAAAGGAUUUAUUCGCUGAAGGAUGGCCUCGCGUCCGAUUAGGCAGUUGGUGAGGUAACGGCCCACCAAACCUACGAUCGGUAGCCGAACUGAGAGGUUGAUCGGCCACAUUGGGACUGAGACACGGCCCAGACUCCUACGGGAGGCAGCAGUGGGGAAUAUUGGGCAAUGGGGCCGAAAGCCUGACCCAGCAACGCCGCGUGAAGGAUGACGGUCUUCGGAUUGUAAACUUCUUUAAUUGGGGAAGAACAAAAUGACCUACCCAAAGAAUAAGUCACGGCUAACUACGUGCCAGCCGCCGC
rnacentral:rRNA from 1 species